GAUGAACGCUGGCGGCGUGCCUAAUACAUGCAAGUCGAGCGAACAGACGAGGAGCUUGCUCCUCUGACGUUAGCGGCGGACGGGUGAGUAACACGUGGAUAACCUACCUAUAAGACUGGGAUAACUUCGGGAAACCGGAGCUAAUACCGGAUAAUAUAUUGAACCGCAUGGUUCAAUAGUGAAAGACGGUUUUGCUGUCACUUAUAGAUGGAUCCGCGCCGCAUUAGCUAGUUGGUAAGGUAACGGCUUACCAAGGCAACGAUGCGUAGCCGACCUGAGAGGGUGAUCGGCCACACUGGAACUGAGACACGGUCCAGACUCCUACGGGAGGCAGCAGUAGGGAAUCUUACGCAAUGGGCGAAAGCCUGACGGAGCAACGCCGCGUGAGUGAUGAAGGUCCUCGGAUCGUAAAACUCUGUUAUUAGGGAAGAACAAAUGUGUAAGUAACUAUGCACGUAUUGACGGUACCUAAUCAGAAAGCCACGGCUAACUACGUG
rnacentral:rRNA from 1 species